rnacentral:rRNA from 1 species
UGGGGAAUCUUGGACAAUGGGCGAAAGCCUGAUCCAGCCAUGCCGCGUGAGUGAUGAAGGCCCUAGGGUCGUAAAGCUCUUUCAGUGGGGAAGAUAAUGACGGUACCCACAGAAGAAGCCCCGGCUAACUCCGUGCCAGCAGCCGCGGUAAUACGGAGGGGGCUAGCGUUGUUCGGAAUUACUGGGCGUAAAGCGCGCGUAGGCGGACUUUCAAGUCAGGGGUGAAAUCCCGAGGCUCAACCUCGGAACUGCCUUUGAUACUGAUGGUCUUGAGUCCGAGAGAGGUGAGUGGAAUUCCUAGUGUAGAGGUGAAAUUCGUAGAUAUUAGGAAGAACACCAGUGGCGAAGGCGGCUCACUGGCUCGGUACUGACGCUGAGGCGCGAAAGCGUGGGGAGCAAACAGGAUUAGAUACCCCGGUAGUCC